rnacentral:lncRNA from 1 species
CAUGUGACGAAAGCAGCCGCAAGGUUGUUCGUCGCGUUACAGGCGAUUAGAACGGAGGUGGUAGAGUCCACUGAGUGGAGAGGAGGAGGGGGGUGUUGAGGUGGGCUCGGCUGUACCACUUCAGAGGAAGGGGGGGUAUAGAUUUAUUUACGGGUUUGGUUUUUUAAAAAAAUGACUCCUUUUUUUAAAAAAAGAUAAUUCUUAGUGAAAUAGAAAACUAGCGGAGCGGGGAUUUGUAUAUAUAGAAUGCUGUUUGUUUUGGUUCUGCAAACAGCCUAAAUAAUUAUGCAUUUAAUACUACUACUUCUGCUAAUAAUAAUAGAAGCUGUCCCGAAUAUUUAAAAUAUUUUGCAUAAGGAAUCUAUAAGUUACUACCAAGAAAAGAUUGGACCCGAUACUGGAAAAAUCCCCACCCUCAGAAUUGAUGUAAAAAUAUUUAAUCUGUGUUUGAGACCUUAGAAUUCUUAAAGCAAUAUGCGGAAAGGAUAUUAAAAUGCUGAUUUCUCAGGGGAAGAUAACGGAUGCAUUUAAUUUACAGUAACUAUUUCGAAGUUUGCACGACACAUAUAAAUUAAAAUCUGCAUUUUUUCACUUUUUUAUGCCUUUCCUCUCCCCCUCCAACCCCUUAUUUAGUCAUGAAAUAAGAGAAUUUUGUUCCCUGCUGCUGUGACCCAUGGAGACCUCUAAAGGGCCCUGAGGAGAGAGAAAACCUUCCAUCUUACAUGUAGAUGGAAAUACUUUAAAUGCUUAGAUACUGAAUUCAGCAGGACUUGUUCAGGAUUGCACUAUUAAUGCUUCAACUCAACAAGCAUCCUUUGGAAAGGAGGUCUGAAUGUGGGGUUGCGUUUGGAGCCUAACCAUGUACCCUUUAAUUCACACAGACUGCCACUCUUGCCCUAGAACAGCCAGCGCCUUGUUAGCGCCAUAACUGCAUGAAAACAGAAAGCAGAGGUCAGGGAAACCUUGCCAGAGGAAGCCAGUGCCUGGGCAGGAUAUCAUUUGUGACCAGGGAAUCUAGAGAAAAAACUGAAAAGAUUAACAGCUGCUCUGCAUGCCCGCACAACAGUAUGUUGCAGACAUGGGAGUGGAUGCAAAAUGAUGUCACGGGCAGAGCAUAAAACAACCAACUGCUGCAUAUUCUCCAUUUCGUCUCGCCUUCUCCCAACUGUCAGCGUUCCAUCACUGCAGGGCAUUGCUAUUAAUUUUUUUAUAUAUUGGUAAUUUGUACUAAUGUAACGUUUUUAUAUGUAACUCUGCGUUUCUGUGACAUUUUGAUUGCCUGUUCUUGCUUCAGUUUGUUGCACGCCGCUUAAAGAUACUUUUAAUACUCUUAACAGGUAUAGAAGUUAAAUAAUCAAUUCUCACUGCGCUGGUUUUACCUUCACCUUUGUGAAUUUAUUUAUUUAUUUUAUACCCUUCCUUUCUCCCAGUGCAGAAUCCAAGGCAGCUCGCAACUUGGAAUGAAAAACGUGUGCUACAAAGAACCACUGAUAUUUACAAACUUUUACAGUGGUACCUCUGGUUAUGGACUUAAUUCGUUCCGGAGGUCCGUUCGUAACCUGAAACUGUUCUUAACCUGAAGCACCACUUUAGCUAAUGGGGCCUCCCGCUGCUGCUGCCGCAUGAUUUCUGUUCUCAUCCUGAAGCAAAGUUCUUAACCCAAGGUACUAUUUCUGGGUUAGCGGAGUCUGUAACCUGAAGCAUAUGUAACCCUAUCUGCAUCUCUGUAAUUUGUUUAUUUGUAUAUACACAUACUGAAUAUGUUCCACAUAUAGUUCCCUUAUUGUCUGUAUUGUUAUGUGUUUGUACAUAUGUUUAUGAUACUCAACAUAAUUAAAAUAAUGAUAAUACUGUGUGGGG